AGACCGCUCCAGGAACGAGAGAUGGAGCGAUCGCAUUUCCCCCCCAAGGCCCGCUAGGACCCGCUGACGUCGGGGCAGGGGUCAAGGGUCAGGAAUGGGUCCAGCUGUGCGUCUGGAAAGGACCCAGCGUGCCCACGCUCCCGGCAAGCCAGGGCUCAAACAUCCCCCCCAAGGGCGUCCGGGCUGAUGACGAUAGCGCCCAAUCGCCCUCCAGAAGCAGGCUGGCAGGAACAACCAGAGGGACUUCCCUGACUGACCCCGCGUUUGCUCAGCUUUGAAUUCCCGCUCGGUAGAUCUGUCGCAAUUUAACCAGAGGUCACCCUGGUGAGGGGACAGGUUGGCUAGCCCUGCAAGUGUGGUUGUUAAGUUCCCAUGGCGGGAGGGUUGUGACUCCUUCUAGGGGGUUGCCCCUGGGAUCUGAUACCAGAAUGCCUCGGGAAUCUGCCUUAGUCACCCUCGGUGGAGAGUGACCUUUUAAGAGUGCUCAAGGGAUGACUAAGUACGAACGUCGUGACAUAUACGGAUGAAAAAUGCCAUAACGAAGCCCAUUACUUAGUAUGCUAACCGAAGGAUACUUUUAAAAAGAAAGUAGUGCUAUGGUGGGGAAGCGCAUAACAGAAAAGGGAAAGUGCUUCAAUCCUCUCAGCGGUUGUUGCAGAAAUUCUUAUACAUUGGCUACACGCAGUUCCACUAAGCGAAAAAAUUGGGCUGAAGAUGCUCUUCCUAAAUUCACUGGUAACUUCAUCCAAGUUGGGAAGACAGUUCAUUGCUUCUCUUGGUACCAUGUACUGCCCUUUCAGAUUGUUCCUGCUUUCUUAAGUCUAGCCUUUUCCUCCAAGGGCGCAGGAAGAGCUGAUUCUCUCUGUUCCUGCUAAAUUGAUUUAUUCUUUGCACCAUAUUAAAAUACAUAAGUACACCUUAAAAUAGAUCAUGGUGUAAAUGGAAAGACCUAAAAUUAUAACAGGUAUGCUAUCAAAGACAUGUUGCAAAGAGGAAAAAAAAAAGUCGUACUUUAAUAAUAAAAACUCCCUUCAAAAGACUGAAGUCAAACACUGAAAGAAAAUGUUUGCAAACCAGAAAUUUGACAAAAAGACUUGUCAACAAAGCAAACAAACAAAACAAAACAAGGCUAUCAAGAUGCUGGUAAAGGAGCUUGUCACACACGUCUGACAACCUGAGUUUAAUCUCUGGAACCCAGUUAAAGGUGGAAGAAAAACAACUCCACAGAGGUCUCCCCUGACCACCACAGGCUGGUAUCCCCCACACACAAACACACUAACAAUAAGCUAAAGAUGAAUUCAAAUCUAAUGGAUUCUUAAAUGGAAAAAGAAAACAACUCAAUGUGAAAAGAUGUGCAAAAGAUUUUGAGUGACACCAAGUAAGAUAUGCUAAUAACAGAUAAGCAUUUUAAAACAUUUCUAAACAUAAACACUAGAGAAAUAGUUUUCAAAGUUCUUUUUAGAGUAUUUUAUGUGCGUGAAUGUUUUCCCUGUCCAUAUGUCUGUGUACCGUAUGUGCUCCUGGUGCUCAUGGAAGUCAGAAGAGAGUGUCAGAAUCCCUGGAACCAGAGUUACAGAUGUUUAUAAUCCACCAUGUGAGUGCUGGGAAUCAAACCUCUGAUAACUCAGAAACCUAUCCUGUUCGAUACAUCCAGAGCGGGAUUCAUCACCUUCUCUGCCUGCUUGGUAUCUGUUUCCGUAUCAGGUAGAGUUGACAUUCACCCCAGAUAUUAGUCACCCCCACAUGGACUGUCAGGUCUACUCUGUCAGAAACCAUAUUUACUAUCACUGUGUUGGUUCAGAUCUUAGCUCUAUUAUUCUGUUAGCUUCCCAUCUUGUCCCCUUCAAAUGUAUCUCCACAGGAGCCAGGGAGGACUAGUAAAGAUACACUCUAAAAAUAGUAUCCCCCUU
ensembl:processed_transcript uncharacterized LOC110321096